UAGGGAAUCUUCGGCAAUGGACGAAAGUCUGACCGAGCAACGCCGCGUGAGUGAAGAAGGUUUCGGAUCGUAAAACUCUGUUGUUAGAGAAGAACAAGGACGUUAGUAACUGAACGUCCCCUGACGGUAUCUAACCAGAAAGCCGCGGCUAACUACGUGCCAGCAGCCGCGGUAAUACGUAGGUGGCAAGCGUUGUCCGGAUUUAUUGGGCGUAAAGCGAGCGCAGGCGGUUUCUUAAGUCUGAUGUGAAAGCCCCCGGCUCAACCGGGGAGGGUCAUUGGAAACUGGGAGACUUGAGUGCAGAAGAGGAGAGUGGAAUUCCAUGUGUAGCGGUGAAAUGCGUAGAUAUAUGGAGGAACACCAGUGGCGAAGGCGGCUCUCUGGUCUGUAACUGACGCUGAGGCUCGAAAGCGUGGGGAGCAAACAGG
rnacentral:rRNA from 1 species